UUUUUUGAGAAGGAAAUGGGGAAACAGUGCAUGAGAAUGUUUAUGCAGUGAUCCAUACACUCAGGGGCUCCUUUGUUUUCUCUUAUGACAGAACACUGGGGAAAUUCUGUAUGCAUACAUUCCAAUCUAGGGGAUGCAACUUCAGUACAAAACCAGGUGUAAAAAAAACAUAGCAAUAACAACAAAAGCUACUUCCGGAGCGGGGUGGAGGGUAAGAAGAAUUUCCAUCCACCAAGGCAGAACCACAUGUACCUCAUGAACAAGUUCAGAAUCUUACAGACGGAGGGCGGACCUACCCUCAUGGUUAUAACAUUAUAAUGUUAAUUAAUGCCUUAUUAAAAUAUGACAUCAGAGGGUGCUGCAGAGCAACUGGCCACCACAACAGGGAAACUGCAUGUUAAAGAGAAAGUCAAGCAUUAACAGAUGAUGGGAAGAGAAGAGCAUUGUGCUUCAGGAUAGUGAUCUUACAGUGCACAUCUGGAGCAGUCUGCCUAAACCUUGAUUUGCAAUGGUGGUUGAGGGCAUCAGAUGUCAUCACUCAGACAAACACAAUGUGUUAUGUGGAAGAAAUCACAAUGCAUACAAAACAUGCCACAUGAUCACAAAUAAAGCCAUGCAUCAUUUGUUGA